UCAUAAUUAAUGAAUUAAAACCAAGAAUCCACAACUGAAUAGACAUCAAAAGAUAAAAGUAAGAUGAGAGAAGAGAAUAGAAUCUGUUGUCAGCAAAUCUGAUGCUCCCCUCUUGCUCUUGCUCUUGAUCUUCAAUGGUCUCCAAGUUGCUUCAAUCUCCAAAACUAAUAAGAACUAGGGUUAUUUUCUAAUCUAAAGGAGUGUUUAAUCUAGGCUAAGCUAUGUAAUCUCCAAGCUAAGCUAUGUAAUCUCCUUUUAUUUUAUGCCUUAUAUCAUGUAUUUAUAGGUUACAAGUCUAAUUUUUAGUUUAGGAACAAACCCAAUCCUAUUUGGAGUCAAAAAGGUGUCAAAAUUCGCCCAAAACGCGUCCAGGCCGCACCAAACCCUUCCCCCAGCGCCCCAGCGCUGGGCAACGGCGCUGGAGUCUGCCCCCUAGAGCCCCGGCGCUGGGCAUAGGCCAAAAAUGGGCGCCCCGGCGCUGGCCCAAAAUCCGAGAUUUUCUGCUCCGACGUCCUUUGGGAAAAUGGCCAUAACUUCUUCGUCCGAACUCCGAUUUCGAUGAUUCAAGAUGUUCCGGAAAGAGGAGAAGUAGAUCUACAACUUUAAUUCUUUGAGGUUUCCGAAAUAAUGUCAGAAGCUAUAGUCAAAUUGGCUCUGAAGUGACUGCUGUGUAAAUGGCAAGCCGAAAAUGCGAAUCUAGCCACCCCAAACAUCGAUCCAUGUAACUUUUGUCCCAAAUCCUACAAAACAAUAUAAAACAUGCUUGAAUAGACACAAACACAUAAAAACAUCCUAAAAGACUUAAGAACAACAAUAAAUUAAGCCCGAAUGUAUCCAAUUCAUGGGUAUA
rnacentral:lncRNA from 1 species